GACGAACGCUGGCGGCGUGCCUAAUACAUGCAAGUCGAGCGAAUCGAUGGGAGCUUGCUCCCUGAGAUUAGCGGCGGACGGGUGAGUAACACGUGGGUAACCUGCCUGUAAGACUGGGAUAACUUUGGGAAACCGGAGCUAAUACCGGAUACUUUCUUUUCUCGCAUGAGGGAAGAUGGAAAGAUGGUUCUGCUAUCACUUACAGAUGGACCCGCGGCGCAUUAGCUAGUUGGUGAGGUAACGGCUCACCAAGGCGACGAUGCGUAGCCGACCUGAGAGGGUGAUCGGCCACACUGGGACUGAGACACGGCCCAGACUCCUACGGGAGGCAGCAGUAGGGAAUCUUCCGCAAUGGACGAAAGUCUGACGGAGCAACGCCGCGUGAGCGAAGAAGGCCUUCGGGUCGUAAAGCUCUGUUGUUAGGGAAGAACAAGUACGAGAGUAACUGCUCGUACCUUGACGGUACCUAACCAGAAAGCCACGGCUAACUACGUGCCAGCAGCCGCGGUAAAAC
rnacentral:rRNA from 1 species